rnacentral:lncRNA from 1 species
GAUUUUGGUUGGUUGAUUUUGGGUGACCUAUCGGCUUCUAGGGUUUCUGGUGGUUUAACUUGAGGUUUUACUGCCUUCCGGUGGCUCGAUUCUCACUCGGUGGACGUUUUGGGUGCUUCUCCGACGUUCCUGACCACAUUUCCAGUAAAGUUGCUUUUAAGGUUACACCUAGGGUUUCUCUGUUGAUUGAAGGCCGAUCUUCUCUGGUCGCGAAGAAGGAGAGUAACUCUGUCCUUAUCUUCGGUAUUAUAUGUGAUUGUUUGACUGUGUACUU